GAUUAGCGGCCGUUUUCAAUAACCUAUCUAUCCCUAGUUUCGGUUACUAAAGAUAGACAAAUCUAUAUUUUUGUCCUUACUUACGUUCCAAUAACCUAUCGACGGGCAGCAGUUCCUAUCGGAUUUAUCUAUCCAUCGUCGGGAGGACGGAUAGCCUGCUAAAGAUAGAACGCUCAUACAAAUCGUGCUUACUUCCGUUUCAAUAUGAGUUUUAAAUAACUCUCCGGUAGGCGGCGCUAUCUCUAGUAUGGGCAUUCGCUUAUCUGUCAAAAUCGGCCGGUUACAUGUUUAUCUUUCGAAAGUAAAUCGCUAUAAUUUAAUAAUUGUUUCUCUUCAUAUUGGCAUAUUGUAGCAGUGAUGAUAGUGAUAUGGAAUUAUUUCAAAUGAUAAUGGAUUGUGAUGCAGAUAGUGAUAGUGAGGCCGAUAUCAUAUGGUUAGGAAAAUAAAGAUCGUCUGAAUUACAUGGCGAAGAUCAAUAAUUACGAAUUUGACUAUAGAUUUCUGAGCAAAGGUGUUGUGAAUGAAUUGAUUAAUUUAAUGAGACCAUAUUUGAGUGUAACGUCAAAAAGAUUCAAAUAUAGGAGAGGAAUUUAGAAAUAGAAAAAGAGUAUUUUGAAUGUGUAAUUUGUGUGCAAUGCAUCAUUGAUGUUUCAAAAUGUUAUUGCUUGAUGGCCUGGGUCUACUCAUGAUACAACUAUAAUUAACCAUUCCGAUUGAAAAGAUGCAUUGGUGUUUGUAAAAGAAGACUCCCUGUAUAUCAUUGAAAAGUAGAUUAAAACUAGAAAAUAUGCAAGCUGUUAUUAUAGCUGCCAUGCUGCAUAAUAUCGUCAGAAGUAUGAAUUUAGAAGAAUUAGAAUCAGAAAUUUCAGUCGCAGAUACAUUACAGGAAAAUAAUAUAAUUGUUCGUAACAAUUUUUCAAAACUUACAUCUGAAAUACAACUAUGUACUUAUAAAUAAUUGCUUCCAAAGAUAAUUUAUAAAAUAAACUCCAAAGAUAA